GACGAACGCUGGCGGCGUGCUUAACACAUUCAAGUCGAACGGAAAGGCCCUGCUUUUGUGGGGUGCUCGAGUGGCGAACGGGUGAGUAACACGUGAGUAACCUGCCCUUGACUUUGGGAUAACUUCAGGAAACUGGGGCUAAUACCGGAUAGGAGCUCCUGCUGCAUGGUGGGGGUUGGAAAGUUUCGGCGGUUGGGGAUGGACUCGCGGCUUAUCAGCUUGUUGGUGGGGUAGUGGCUUACCAAGGCUUUGACGGGUAGCCGGCCUGAGAGGGUGACCGGCCACAUUGGGACUGAGAUACGGCCCAGACUCCUACGGGAGGCAGCAGUGGGGAAUAUUGCACAAUGGGCGGAAGCCUGAUGCAGCAACGCCGCGUGCGGGAUGACGGCCUUCGGGUUGUAAUCCGCUUUCGCCUGUGACGAAGCGUGAGUGACGGUAAUGGGUAAAGAAGCACCGGCUAACUACGUG
rnacentral:rRNA from 1 species